rnacentral:rRNA from 1 species
UACAGAGACUGCAAGCGUUAUUCGGAUUCACUGGGCGUAAAGGGUGCGCAGGCGGUCGGGUGUGUCAGAUGUGAAAUCCCGAGGCUCAACCUCGGAACUGCGUCUGAAACUACUCGACUAGAGUACUGGAGAGGGUAACGGAAUUCACGGUGUAGCAGUGAAAUGCGUAGAUAUCGUGAGGAACACCAGAGGCGAAGGCGGCUUCCUGGACACCAACUGACGCUGAGACGCGAAAGCGUGGGGAGCAAACAGG